UGCAGUAAUGUGGAACAAGUGACAAUUUC
rnacentral:piRNA from 1 species